CCUACGGGAGGCUGCAGUGAGGAAUAUUGGUCAAUGGGCGGAAGCCUGACCCAGCAACGCCGCGUGAAGGAAGAAGGCUUUCGGGUGGUAAACUUCUUUUGAGGGGGAAGAGCAGAAGACGGUAGCCCUUGAAUAAGCCACGGCUAAUUACGUGCCAGCGGCCGCGGUAAAACGUAGGUGGCAGUCGUUGCCCGGAUUCACUGGGUGUAAGGGGCGGUCAGCCGGAGAGACAAGCAAGGUGUGAAAUCCACGGGCUAAACGGGUGAACUGCAUUUGAGACUGGUUCGCUUGAGUGUGGGAGAGGUAAUCGGAAUGCGUGGUGUAGCGGUGAAAUGCGUAGAUAUAAGGCAGAACACCAGUGGCGAAGGCGGAUUACUGGACGAUAACUGACGGUGAGGCGCGAAAGCGUGGGGAGCAAACAGGAUUAGAUACCCUAGUAGUC
rnacentral:rRNA from 1 species